AGGCAAAUCCGGUACUCAUUAAGGCUGAGCUGUGAUGGGGAGAAGACAUUGUGUCUUCGAGUCGUUGAUUUCACACUGCCGAGAAAAGCCUCUAGAUAGAAAAUAGGUGCCCGUACCGCAAACCGACACAGGUAGUCAAGAUGAGAAUUCUAAGGUGAGCGAGCGAACUCUCGUUAAGGAACUCGGCAAAAUGACCCCGUAACUUCGGGAGAAGGGGUGCUCUUUAGGGUUAACGCCCAGAAGAGCCGCAGUGAAUAGGCCCAAGCGACUGUUUAUCAAAAACACAGGUCUCUGCUAAACCGUAAGGUGAUGUAUAGGGGCUGACGCCUGCCCGGUGCUGGAAGGUUAAGAGGAGUGGUUAGCUUCUGCGAAGCUACGAAUCGAAGCCCCAGUAAACGGCGGCCGUAACUAUAACGGUCCUAAGGUAGCGAAAUUCCUUGUCGGGUAAGUUCCGACCCGCACGAAAGGCGUAACGAUUUGGGCACUGUCUCAACGAGAGACUCGGUGAAAUCAUAGUACCUGUGAAGAUGCAGGUUACCCGCGACAGGACGGAAAGACCCCGUGGAGCUUUACUGUAGCCUGAUAUUGAAAUUCGGCACAGCUUGUACAGGAUAGGUAGGAGCCUUUGAAACGUGAGCGCUAGCUUACGUGGAGGCGCUGGUGGGAUACUACCCUAGCUGUGUUGGCUUUCUAACCCGCACCACUUAUCGUGGUGGGAGACAGUGUCAGGCGGGCAGUUUGACUGGGGCGGUCGCCUCCUAAAAGGUAACGGAGGCGCUCAAAGGUUCCCUCAGAAUGGUUGGAAAUCAUUCAUAGAGUGUAAAGGCAUAAGGGAGCUUGACUGCGAGACCUACAAGUCGAGCAGGGUCGAAAGACGGACUUAGUGAUCCGGUGGUUCCGCAUGGAAGGGCCAUCGCUCAACGGAUAAAAGCUACCCCGGGGAUAACAGGCUUAUCUCCCCCAAGAGUUCACAUCGACGGGGAGGUUUGGCACCUCGAUGUCGGCUCAUCGCAUCCUGGGGCUGUAGUCGGUCCCAAGGGUUGGGCUGUUCGCCCAUUAAAGCGGUACGCGAGCUGGGUUCAGAACGUCGUGAGACAGUUCGGUCCCUAUCCGUCGUGGGCGUAGGAAAUUUGAGAGGAGCUGUCCUUAGUACGAGAGGACCGGGAUGGACAUACCUCUGGUGUACCAGUUGUCGUGCCAACGGCAUAGCUGGGUAGCUAUGUGUGGACGGGAUAAGUGCUGAAAGCAUCUAAGCAUGAAGCCCCCCUCAAGAUGAGAUUUCCCAACUUCGGUUAUAAGAUCCCUCAAAGAUGAUGAGGUUAAUAGGUUCGAGGUGGAAGCAUGGUGACAUGUGGAGCUGACGAAUACUAAUCGAUCGAAGACUUAAUCAA
rnacentral:rRNA from 1 species